rnacentral:rRNA from 1 species
AUGAACGCUAGCGACAGGCUUAACACAUGCAAGUCGAGGGGCAGCGGGGUGUAGCAAUACACCGCCGGCGACCGGCGCACGGGUGAGUAACGCGUAUGCAACUUGCCUAUCAGAGGGGGAUAACCCGGCGAAAGUCGGACUAAUACCGCAUGAAGCAGGGGCCCCGCAUGGGGAUAUUUGCUAAAGAUUCAUCGCUGAUAGAUAGGCAUGCGUUCCAUUAGGCAGUUGGCGGGGUAACGGCCCACCAAACCGACGAUGGAUAGGGGUUCUGAGAGGAAGGUCCCCCACAUUGGUACUGAGACACGGACCAAACUCCUACGGGAGGCAGCAGUGAGGAAUAUUGGUCAAUGGGCGCGAGCCUGAACCAGCCAAGUCGCGUGAGGGAUGAAGGUUCUAUGGAUCGUAAACCUCUUUUAUAAGGGAAUAAAGUGCGGGACGUGUCCCGUUUUGUAUGUACCUUAUGAAUAAGGAUCGGCUAACUCCGUGCCAGCAGCCGCGGUAAUACGGAGGAUCCGAGCGUUAUCCGGAUUUAUUGGGUUUAAAGGGUGCGUAGGCGGCCUUUUAAGUCAGCGGUGAAAGUCUGUGGCUCAACCAUAGAAUUGCCGUUGAAACUGGGGGGCUUGAGUAUGUUUGAGGCAGGCGGAAUGCGUGGUGUAGCGGUGAAAUGCUUAGAUAUCACGCAGAACCCCGAUUGCGAAGGCAGCCUGCCAAGCAAUGACUGACGCUGAUGCACGAAAGCGUGGGGAUCAAACAGGAUUAGAUACCCUGGUAGUCCACGCAGUAAACGAUGAUCACUAGCUGUUUGCGAUACAGUGUAAGCGGCACAGCGAAAGCGUUAAGUGAUCCACCUGGGGAGUACGCCGGCAACGGUGAAACUCAAAGGAAUUGACGGGGGCCCGCACAAGCGGAGGAACAUGUGGUUUAAUUCGAUGAUACGCGAGGAACCUUACCCGGGUUUGAACGCAUUCGGACCGAGGUGGAAACACCUUUUCUAGCAAUAGCCGUUUGCGAGGUGCUGCAUGGUUGUCGUCAGCUCGUGCCGUGAGGUGUCGGCUUAAGUGCCAUAACGAGCGCAACCCUUGCCACUAGUUACUAACAGGUGAUGCUGAGGACUCUGGUGGGACUGCCAGCGUAAGCUGCGAGGAAGGCGGGGAUGACGUCAAAUCAGCACGGCCCUUACAUCCGGGGCGACACACGUGUUACAAUGGCGUGGACAAAGGGAGGCCACCUGGCGACAGGGAGCGAAUCCCCAAACCACGUCUCAGUUCGGAUCGGAGUCUGCAACCCGACUCCGUGAAGCUGGAUUCGCUAGUAAUCGCGCAUCAGCCAUGGCGCGGUGAAUACGUUCCCGGGCCUUGUACACACCGCCCGUCAAGCCAUGGGAGCCGGGGGUACCUGAAGUCCGUAACCGAAAGGAUCGGCCUAGGGUAAAACUGGUGACUGGGGCU